GUGGCGGCUCAGUGGCAGAGCGCUCACCUAGCAUGCGUGAAGCACUGGGUUCGAUCCUCAGCACCACA
rnacentral:tRNA from 1 species